ACACUGUUCAUGGGUUACCGCGGCUGCUGGCACGGAGUUAGCCGGUGCUUCUUCUGUGAGUGAUGUCCUUCCUGCCGGUUAUUGACCCGCAGGCCUUCUUCCUCACUGAAAGUGCUUUACAACCCGAAGGCCUUCUUCACACACGCGGCAUGGCUGGAUCAGGGUUGCCCCCAUUGUCCAAUAUUCCCCACUGCUGCCUCCCGUAGGAGUCUGGGCCGUGUCUCAGUCCCAGUGUGGCUGAUCAUCCUCUCAGACCAGCUACGGAUCGUCGCCUUGGUGAGCCGUUACCUCACCAACCAGCUAAUCCGACAUAGGCUCAUCCGAUAGCGCGAGGCCCGAAGGUCCCCCGCUUUCCCCCGUAGGGCGUAUGCGGUAUUAGCCUGGGUUUCCCCAGGUUAUCCCCCACUACCGGGCAGAUUCCUAUGCAUUACUCACCCGUCCGCCGCUCGCCACCAGGGAGCAAGCUCCCCGUGCUGCCGCUCGACUUGCAUGUGUUAGGCCUGCCGCCAGCGUUCAAUCU
rnacentral:rRNA from 1 species